CCCGCACAAGCGGCGGAGUAUGUGGUUUAAUUCGAUGCAACGCGAAGAACCUUACCUGGUCUUGACAUCCCGGAGACCCUUAGGAAACUAGGGGGUGCUUCCAUCUGGAAGAAUCUGGAGACAGGUGCUGCAUGGCUGUCGUCAGCUCGUGUCGUGAGAUGUUGGGUUAAGUCCCGCAACGAGCGCAACCCUUGCCUUUAGUUGCCAGCAGUUCGGCUGGGCACUCUAAAGGGACUGCCGGUGUUAAACCGGAGGAAGGUGGGGAUGACGUCAAGUCCUCAUGGCCUUUAUGACCAGGGCUACACACGUACUACAAUGGCCGAUACAAAGGGCAGCGACACUGCGAGGUGAAGCCAAUCCCGUAAAAUCGGUCUCAGUCCGGAUUGGAGUCUGCAACUCGACUCCAUGAAGUUGGAAUCGCUAGUAAUCGUGGAUCAGCAUGCCACGGUGAAUACGUUCCCGGGCCUU
rnacentral:rRNA from 1 species